UUCCACGUAGCUUAGUGGUCAAGGCAUUGGUGCGUGAAGUCAAAGGUCCAGGGUUCGAUUCUCGGCGGGGGUG
rnacentral:tRNA from 1 species